rnacentral:rRNA from 1 species
ACUCCUACGGGAGGCAGCAGUGGGGAAUAUUGGACAAUGGGGGCAACCCUGAUCCAGCAAUGCCGCGUGAGUGAUGAAGGCCUUCGGGUUGUAAAGCUCUUUUGGCGGGGACGAUGAUGACGGUACCCGCAGAAUAAGCCCCGGCUAACUUCGUGCCAGCAGCCGCGGUAAUACGAAGGGGGCUAGCGUUGUUCGGAAUUACUGGGCGUAAAGGGCGCGUAGGCGGUCCUGAUCGUCGGAUGUGAAAGGCCUGGGCUCAACCUGGGAACUGCAUCCGAUACGGCGGGACUGGAGUGUGGGAGAGGUUGGUGGAAUUCCCAGUGUAGAGGUGAAAUUCGUAGAUAUUGGGAAGAACACCGGUGGCGAAGGCGGCCAACUGGACCACAACUGACGCUGAGGCGCGAAAGCGUGGGGAGCAAACAGGAUUAGAUACCCUGGUAGUCCACGCUGUAAACGAUGCGUGCUAGACGUUGGGAGCCCUAGGCUCUCGGUGUCGUCGCUAACGCUUUAAGCACGCCGCCUGGGGAGUACGGCCGCAAGGUUAAAACUUAAAGGAAUUGACG